rnacentral:hammerhead_ribozyme from 1 species
AUCCAGCUGAAGAGUCCCAAGUAGAACGAAACACACAUCCUAGAU